CAAAUACUCCCUCUGUCCCAAAUUUCUUGUCUUAGAUUCGUCUAGAUACAGAUGUAUCUAAUACUAAAAUGUGACUUGAUACAUCCGUAUCUAGACAAAUUUAGGACAAGAAUUUUGGGACGGAGGGAGUAUUUU
rnacentral:pre_miRNA from 1 species